rnacentral:tRNA from 1 species
AAAAUUUUAGUUUUAAAUUAAAAUAUUUCAUUUACAUUGAAGAGAUUUAAAUUAUUUUAAAAAUUUUA